rnacentral:snRNA from 1 species
AGCUCUGCGCAGUGGCAGUACCGUAGCCAAUGAGGUUCAUCCAAGGCGCGAUUAUUGCUAAUUGAAAACUUAAUACCUGGCGGAGGAAAUUUUUUAGGGAAAAAAAUGAUU